rnacentral:tRNA from 2 species
GGGCAGAUGGCCGAGUGGAUUAAGGCUACGGUCUUGAAAACCGUCGACGGGGUAACUCGUCCAAGAGUUCGAAUCUCUUUUUGCCCGCCA